rnacentral:rRNA from 1 species
UACGUAGGGGGCAAGCGUUGUCCGGAAUUACUGGGCGUAAAGCGCCUGUAGGCGGGAAAGCACGUCGGACGUGAAAGGCUGGGGCUCAACCCCAGAGCGGCGUUCGAAACGGCUUUUCUUGAGGGUCGAAGAGGAGCGUGGAAUUCCCGGUGUAGCGGUGAAAUGCGUAGAGAUCGGGAGGAACACCCGUGGCGAAGGCGGCGCUCUGGUCGGCCCCUGACGCUGAGAGGCGAAAGCGUGGGGAGCGAACGGG